UACGGAGGGUGCAAGCGUUAUCCGGAUUCACUGGGUUUAAAGGCUGCGUAGGUGGGCAGGUAAGUCCGUGGUGAAAUCUCUGAGCUUAACUCAGAAACUGCCGUGGAUACUAUUUGUCUUGAAUAUUGUGGAGGUGAGCGGAAUAUGUCAUGUAGCGGUGAAAUGCUUAGAUAUGACAUAGAACACCAAUGGCGAAGGCAGCUCACUACACAAUUAUUGACGCUGAGGCACGAAAGCGUGAGGAGCAAACAGG
rnacentral:rRNA from 1 species